CUCAGCUGAGGAUUUGCGGCCCGGCCUCGGUUUGACGCGUCCUUGGCUUCCAGCCAACAAUCCAGCUGUGAAAUAACCUCUGAGCUGCGUCAGUAAAAGGAAGGUGCAGCCACCAGCAGUCCACAGUGGAUGAUGUUGAUGUAGAAGCUCUCUAACCUUUAAUGAGAGGAGGCCUGGAGAAGCAGCUGUGUUACAGUACAGAAGAGACUCACAGCACAAGCCAGUUAAUGGUCACCAGGUAAAACCGGGGACUUUGACCAAAGCCAGUUUCCAUGGGAACUCGCCUCCUUUGCCAUUUUGGGGAUGAAGCGAAGUGGAGCGUCACCAGAGACACAGUGGUGCACUGGGGCUAGUGAAGGGUAUCAACACAAAAUCCACAGGGGAUGUGAUGGGUGACACUUAGUGGAGACUUGUGUGAUCCUUAUUACUGAGCAAGAAGCAAAAUGUUUGGCUCAUCCGACUUCAGAUUUCAUUAAAUACAGAAGCCAGGUUUUUACAUUUCUGUAACUUUUGUUAUUUAGAUCAUAGUUAGUUUGUUAAUGAGGGUGGCACAGCACAGCAGUGGUUAGAGCCAAUCCCAGCUGACACUGGGUGAGAGGUGGGGUCCAACCUGGACAGGUCACCAGUCUGUCACAUGGCUGACAUGUGGACAACCACACACACUCACACUCAGUCCACUUUCAUCAGAUCCUGAACAUAACUACCUACUGAAAAGAGCCAACUGGUCUGUAUGUAGAAGGUUUGGAUAAAACAGCUGGUUGUAUUAAAAUAAAUAAAAAUGUGCUUUUGAUUAAAACAAUUUGUGAUGUUAAAGUUAUGGACUUGCUGGGUCUUUCUCAUUAAAAACUCAUGUUGCAUUUUCCUGUCAUUUCUCCACUGCUGCUGUAUGAUAAAGGCAUAAAAUAAUCCCAGAAUGAUAAUAAUAAUACUAUAAUUCAGUAAUUGACUCACAGAAUUUGUUUCCUGCUGCAUUAAAGUGAUGGACACAGUAAUGCAUUAGUCACUAUGAUCCAGUAUCAGAGACAUUACUGGGACACGGGCCGUUCUGCAGGAUGAGUACUGGUACUUUUGCCUACUCCACUUAGUAGGCUAAACUAAGUCAGUGACCCCUUGACUUUCUUCCACAUAACGCACAUUUCAUUCAUAAUAUUAUAAACACAGACCUAUAAUUUGCAC